CCUAGGUCGAAAGUUUUGGCAGUGCCCAAAUAAUGGGGACAAUGGAGGUUGUGGAUAUAUGGAGUGGUUUGAUCCUCCAAUAUGUAAGAGGGCAAAUAAAAUAUAAUUAUCCCAGAAUUACUAAAAUGAUUAAACUAACAAUAAGAAGAAAUUAGUAGACUUGAGAUGAAUUGAAGCUUAAAUAUGGGGAGGCAAGAGUUGACAAUGAAGCUCAUUGGAAGUUUAAGUGCAGUAAAAGCCUAUAUCUAGUUUUAGUAAUAGUUGUGUAAGGUAUUGUGUUGUUUAAAAUUUCAAAAAAAAAAAUAUGGUGAAGUCAGUUUGAUGCAAUUAAUGUAAUCGAAAUGUUUGUAGUUUUAGCUUUU